GACGUAGGGCGCGAGCGUUGUCCGGAUUUAUUGGGCGUAAAGGGCGCGUAGGCGGUCGUGCGCGUCGGAGGUGAAAUCCCCGGGCUUAACCCGGGAGCUGCCUCCGAUACGGCAUGGCUUGAGUCCGGGAGAGGGGAGCAGAAUUCCCAGUGUAGCGGUGAAAUGCGUAGAUAUUGGGAGGAAUACCGGUGGCGAAGGCGGCUCCCUGGACCGGUACUGACGCUGAGGCGCGAAAGCGUGGGUAGCAAACAGG
rnacentral:rRNA from 1 species